rnacentral:lncRNA from 1 species
AUUCGAGGAUCUAUAUAUACAAAUGAUAAUUCAUCCCAUGUAACCUUUUCUCAAGUGUUUAUCAUGUCUCCCCCUCAUGUUAGAAAAGCUAACUUAUUUUCUCAACUUUGAGAACCCAUCUUUGUGUUUUGUGGUGUUAAUCAAAAUAUACACCGCACAUCAAUAAAAUUGAGAUGGAAUUAUUUGGUUCCUGACCCUGAACCACUUG